ACCUAAUUUGGAAAUCGAUUUCGAUAUAAGUAAGUAAACAAAGCGAAUGUGUAAAAGCUCGAAUUCAAAUUGACUUCUGAAUUACUUAAUUAAAUUUUAAUACGAAAUAUUUCAAAGUACAGUACACGUAAAAAAUAUAUGUAUUGAGAUUUUUGAAAAAAUACACAACAUUCACGUUUUCAGUCAAUUUUCCUGAAGUGUUGUGUAAGUUCAUGUUGGUCUUAUUUAUUAAUCAUUAUCAUUGACUAGAUGAAAGUGAAAAUGAAACGAAAAUUGAUUCAUUACGCAGCCUCAUUCCUGGACAAUUCCGGUAUUCGUAUUUUAUAUCAAAGCAGCGACAGUUGUACGUAUAAAACUGGCAUAAUAUUAGGUGCAGCUUUCAACUACUUUCUGGUCAUAAUAUCGACGAGCAUUUAUGCAGUAAAAAACCGUCACGAUUUUCAAAAAUUUAUAAACCCGAUACCUUACAUAUCGAUAACAUCGUUUACUUUGAGUUGUUUCUUUACAAUAUUUUUCCAUAAACGAUCCCUGAGCAAGAUGUUGCAUCAAAUGGACGACAACUUGUACCUAUACCCAGACGAAGACCAGCUUCAAACCAAAAUCGUCUACAAAUGGUACCAGCGAGAAGACAAUAUCGUGAUUAUAUUGAAAUCGAUUCCGUAUUUUUAUUUACUGGGUCUGUCUUCGAGAAUCAUUCCGACGUUUAUUCAGUUAUGGUACUUUGGCUCGAUUGAAUCGUAUCUUUAUUUGGCUUGGACACCUUGGUCACUGGAGGAUGGAAAGUGGCAAUAUUUCACGUUGUUUUUUCAAAGUAGUCAAGCGGUGUGUGGCAUUUGGUGUUUUUAUUUAGUCGUCGUAUCGAUCAUGACGACCGUAUUCGAGUUCUCUAGACAAUACAAAAGGCUCGAUGUGGCUAUUGGGUCGAUUGAUAGUCGGAGCAAGAUGAUGAGUCGAAAAAGCGAGGGAAAAGUUGUACAGAGAGCGAUGCGUGAAAAUAUCGUUCAUUGCAUCAGGCAUCAUCAGAAAUUACAUCAGUAAGUGUGGGUAAAAAUAAUUCAAUUUAGAUCUAGGUAUACAUAAAUAUAUUAUUCGAUAUUUUUUCUGAAAUAGAAAUUUCCGACUGUUCAAAAUGUGGAUGGAGGUAUUGCUGUCCUAUGUUCUUUUCAUUUGCAUGUUAUCUCUGGCUUUAGGAGUGUACAUUGUCAAAAAUGCUUCAAAUUUACUACGAAUGUUCAGUUGUUUUGAAAUAAUCGUUGUCGUAAUCAUGAAUCUUCUCGCUGUAUGCAUCAUUGGCGAAAUUUUUUCAGAUUUGAAUGAAGACAUUACGAGUACACUACUGUGGGAAGUGGCUUGGUACAAAAUGAACGACGAUAACAGAAAACUUCUUACAAUUUUUCAUCAAUUAAGCAAACAACCCCUGGAUCUAUCUGCGUUCAAAAUUUUUCAAGCGAACAGAUAUAUUUUUAGUAAAAUUCUGCGAGCAACGUAUUCCAUUUUUAAUGUAUUGAACGCAACGAUUAGAAAAUAAACAGAUACUUACCUAGGUACCUACUCAGAA